rnacentral:lncRNA from 1 species
GCGGCGCCCAACGGCUCCGCGCCUGACGGAGGUUCUGCCUUUUCCCUCAUUCCUCGCCUUUUGAGGGCCUGCCAUGACUCAGAGUUCACCGUGAGAGUUCGGGCUGUGCGUGCACACGCUUUGGAAAACCGGCAGAAAAAGUCAAAUAGGGAGCCAACUGUGUUAGAGUCCAGACAGCAACACAGUUUCCUCUGGAGCUGUUCAGAGCUGGAAGCAUCGCUCCCACUGGCAGCACUGGAUGGAGGUGCGGGACUGAGCUGUGACGCUUGCCCCAGGUGCAGCCUGCUGCCUCCCAUGUCAGGGCUGCCUUGCAGCAGGUGAGCUGUUCUCCAGCAUCAUGGGCCAACUUCAGGAGGGAAAGUGCCAAAUCUGAAGUAAAUUACUGCCUGUCUGGAGCGUAAAACUCAUAAUGCUUCACAGACGUUUGACAAGACCAAAAACCAAAGCCGCUUAGGAGGAACUGUGUGCCAAAAUGGAGGGAGGCCAAGAAUAAGGGAAACAGAAAGAAGAUGUAGAGAUCAGCUUCUGCAGUAAUACUAACAGUCUGAACUUACACAGAUGCCCAUGUUCCGAAUUGUGAUGUAUUAUUUUAUUUAUCUCAUAAUUUUUGACAUAAACUGCUUUUCUGAUUCAAGCUGUGCUUUGGAUUACUGUUGCUGUGUACACUGAUAAUAUCAACACUUUCUGUAUAAGAUGAAGUCAUUCUGAUCAGACAGUUACAUCCCCUUGCCUGCAAGAUGUUGCAAAGACUGGUCUUAUGUACCUGCCUACCUUACACAAUGGAAGAAAUUGUGAACAAGAUUUUUUUUUAUGUCUGAAUAAUGGCUUGAUAAUGGAGUGAUGAGCUUGCAGUGCAGCAAUCACAUUUUGUGUAUGAACUUAUAUAUGUACGUUAAGGAUAAAAAGAGAGGUGCUUGCUUAUAAUGGGAAACUGAGUUGUUUGAAAUUUCACUUUCUGCUGAUCCUAAUUUGAGGGUAUAUUAGUUCACUAGGUCUAAUCCUACAUAUGUUAGUCAGCUGGACUCCUUUCAUUAUUUUCACUAUAUUAACUGAAUAAGUAGAGAUCAGAUUUCAGUGCAAAGUCUUAUCUCUGGUAUAUCUAUACUUAAGUAGUAAGCUCUAGGGACUAUAUUUUAAUUAUAUUCCUGUGAUAUAACUGUUGACUUUCUCAUUAAAUGAUUCAUUCUUUUUUAAAGCUCCGCUAAGGUUAAUAACUCAACAGAUUCCAAAAGUCAUUUGUGUUUCGUCUAAAAACCUCCCUCCUUUUAACAAAGUAAAUGCAGCACAUUCCAUUUUAUUAUAACGACUCU